GGAGAGGUGGCCGAGUGGUCGAAGGCAACCGCUUGCUAAGCGGUCGUACGGUCAAAAGCUGUACCGCGGGUUCGAAUCCCGCCCUCUCCGCCC
rnacentral:tRNA from 1 species